AACGAACGCUGGCGGCAGGCCUAACACAUGCAAGUCGAACGCCGUAGCAAUACGGAGUGGCAGACGGGUGAGUAACGCGUGGGAACAUACCCCUCGGUUCGGAAUAACUUAGGGAAACUUGAGCUAAUACCGGAUACGUCCGAGGUUUUAACCGGCCUCGGAGAAAGAUUUAUCGCCGGAGGAUUGGCCCGCGUCUGAUUAGCUUGUUGGUGAGGUAAUGGCUCACCAAGGCGACGAUCAGUAGCUGGUCUGAGAGGAUGAUCAGCCACAUUGGGACUGAGACACGGCCCAAACUCCUACGGGAGGCAGCAGUGGGGAAUAUUGGACAAUGGGCGAAAGCCUGAUCCAGCCAUGCCGCGUGAGUGAUGAAGGCCUUAGGGUUGUAAAGCUCUUUUACCCGGGAAGAUAAUGACGGUACCGGGAGAAUAAGCCCCGGCUAACUUCGUGCCAGCCGCCGCAGUAAG
rnacentral:rRNA from 1 species